CUAGUGGUAAUCUCGCACUUGGAGCACCCGUACGAGUACCUGGUUACUCUGGUUGUUUGCUUCGGGAAGGUCUGAGAUAAGGCAUGCGAAUAUGCCUCAGCAAGGCAGCUCUUUGAGAAGAGCGUUCGCUACCAGCAAUACAUCAGUUGUGGAUGACGCAGUGUCCUGGCCGCUACUUGAAAGGUGCAAACCUCUCGGUUUCGGCUCGGGCACUGAUUGAAAACAGCGGAUUGCCAGCCAUAUGAGUCAAAUAUGCGAGCUAUCAACCUGUGGGGGGGUCCGUCCUCUCCAUGGGCGGUAGAACUCAAUUCAGACUAAUCUAUCACUAG
rfam:Anopheles arabiensis strain DONG5_A unplaced genomic scaffold supercont1.16, whole genome shotgun sequence.